rnacentral:rRNA from 1 species
UGAGGAAUAUUGGUCAAUGGACGCAAGUCUGAACCAGCCAUGCCGCGUGCAGGAAGACGGCUCUAUGAGUUGUAAACUGCUUUUGUACGAGAGUAAACCUAUCUACGAGUAGAUAGCUGAAAGUAUCGUACGAAUAAGGAUCGGCUAACUCCGUGCCAGCAGCCGCGGUAAUACGGAGGAUCCGAGCGUUAUCCGGAUUUAUUGGGUUUAAAGGGUGCGUAGGCGGUUGAUUAAGUUAGUCGUUAAAUCGGAAGGCUCAACCUUCUCAAGGCGAUUGAUACUGGUCAGCUAGAGAUUAGAUGCAGAGGGCGGAAUGUGUAGUGUAGCGGUGAAAUGCUUAGAUAUUACACAGAACACCGAUUGCGAAGGCAGCUCUCUAAUCUACAUCUGACGCUGAGGCACGAAAGCGUGGGGAUCAAACA